rnacentral:rRNA from 1 species
AGUGAACGCUGGCGGUAGGCCUAACACAUGCAAGUCGAACGGCAGCACAGUAAGAGCUUGCUCUUACGGGUGGCGAGUGGCGGACGGGUGAGGAAUACAUCGGAAUCUACUUUUUCGUGGGGGAGAACGUAGGGAAACUUACGCUAAUACCGCAUACGACCUACGGGUGAAAGCAGGGGAUCUUCGGACCUUGCGCGAUUGAAUGAGCCGAUGUCGGAUUAGCUAGUUGGCGGGGUAAAGGCCCACCAAGGCGACGAUCCGUAGCUGGUCUGAGAGGAUGAUCAGCCACACUGGAACUGAGCCACGGUCCAGACUCCUACGGGAGGCAGCAGUGGGGAAUAUUGGACAAUGGGCGCAAGCCUGAUCCAGCCAUACCGCGUGGGUGAAGAAGGCCUUCGGGUUGUAAAGCCCUUUUGUCGGGAAAGAAAAGCAGCAGGUUAAUACCCCGCUGUUCUGACGGUACCCAAAGAAUAAGCACCGGCUAACUUCGUG